UCCAAAUAUAAAAAUUAGUUCAUUGGUGAAUUUGUUCGUGGCAAAAAGGUGUCAACAUUUCAUUUCCGAUCCACCAAUCUAUUUGAGUUAAUCUUUAUAAUCUAAUUCUGUGUUAGUCAAUAGACAUUGUUGCAACAGUUGCUAGAUUAAUCGAUUUUCUUGAUUAACUCAAAACAAUGGACCAGUAACUCACGUCAGUUUCCGGCUAUCAAGUAAAGACAAUUCAAACUGGUUGAACCUUUUAUUCCUGUUAUUACAUUUCCUUUUUCAUCAAUUUUCACCUCUUUGUGUCUUUUCACAAAGAUCAAACUAUACUUCAUUGACCAGAUAGAAGCUAAUUGUCAGCCUAAUUAAGAUUAAACCUACUCCCAGGAGUAGUUGGGAUAUUGAAAAGCAAGCAAUGUUCUGAUCAAAAGCUGUCAGUUCAGGAUAGACUGAAUGUGAAUAUUUAUAAAAAAAAGAGGUGAAUAAGAAUAAAUAGGAAGGAGAAAGGACAUGGAACCAUUGUCUUCUAUUCUCUCAUCAUUUUCUGCUUUUCUUUCCUUUUUGUUGGGAAAGAUGAAGAUAACUUUGUCGACAUUUUUCACUCUAUUCUCACCUCACAAACAAACUUUGUUUCUGUUGAUCAAACUUACAAUUAAUUUUGAAAUCAAGAACAAUGGGAAGUUAAAAAAUCUACUUCUCUAUUCAAUGCAACUGUCUUCAUCUCAAUCAUCAUUCUAAAUUCAACCCAAGUUGAAAAAAAUGGCUAUUAGUGGUGGUAAGAGGCAUAAGGAUAAACUCAGUCAACACAGGAGAGAUGAGAAAAGAUAAAUUCAAUCCCAAAGCCAAUGCACCAAAAAUCCGGUCAUUUAGAAGUCCAAUGAUUCUGAACCAGUUACCCUGGAUCAUGGUGAAAGUUUCAAUAGUUGGAAGAAGAAGAGGAAGAUGUUACAGUUGGCAAAAGAUUGUUGAAAUUUGGAGGGGAGCAAAAAUAAAGCAAUUGAAGUUGAAAUAAGAUUGGCUUUCUUUUUAUUGUCUUUGCUUGGUUCAUCGGAUUAACCAUUAGAUCCAAUGGUUUUUAUGUUGAGCUAAUUACAAUGAUACCAGUUUUUGGAAUCAUUUCUUGUGGAUUGAAAUCAUCAAAUGACCAUUAACUACUACUUAUUUGCAAUUCAUAAAAGCCAUCAACAAAUUAGGAACUAAAGGUUCCAAUGAAUCAAAAGGCAAAAAAUGAUGUCAACGUCAAUCAGGCAAAUUUAUCAAACAACUGCAUUUAUCCAUGGAUGGGGAAAAAAUGAUGUACAGAGAUAAUUUCUUGAGACAAAAAAGACUCGUAGAUCGUUUUACUUGGGUUGACACUUUGGUUUAGCUGGAAGAAUAAGAAAAUAAAUAAGACGAAACAAGCAAGGAAAAAACAUUGAGUAAUUGUCAUUUUGACAAUAAGUGUUGUCUGAUUAAAUGGAUGCCCAUGAGCUUCACAAUCAAAGACAUCAAAUCAACAGUAUUACAUGAGCUUGGAGGCUAUAUUUGUAUUUGAUCUCACUGUGAAUGUCAACCACCACCACAAUCAAAAAAAUUUCUUUCCCUUUUAACAAUCCAAUUUUUUCUCAUUCUCUUCCUUCUUUCACUGCAGUUAUUUAUGUCGAUCUACCUCAGUCCUUCAAAUUCAAGUGUUGAUGAUAUUGAUUUUUCCGUUCCUCGAACCAUGAAAAUGGCCUGCAGAUAAAAGUAAAAAGAGAUCUCAUAGGGAAUGUAAUGCAAAGGGCAAAGGAAAAUAAAUGGAGUAAAUCCUUCCUUCUUGGAGCAACAUUGGAUUAACAUUAAGGAAAAAUUGAGGAACCUUGCAAAAUAAUAUUGCCAACGUAAAUAACAUUCGCCCCAUGAAGCUCAUCGGGAACCUUGUCAUCAAUGAAGCAUACCAGCAGUAAAAAUAUUUCCCUAUCGUGCAUAUGUUUCAUGACCAAGAACAUUGAAAGUGAAAGAGAGGGAAAGAUGAAAAAUACAAUAAAGACCCAACUCGAACUGACCGAGACAAAAGACACAUUUAUCUGAUCAUAAGCUGUUAUCUGACCAUUGGUGACCUAAUUGAUGUUGAAAAUGUUUCAAUAAAGUGCAAGGGAGACGAAAUUAAUAAACUUGGCGCCCAAUAUCGAAAGAUUAGCCCAGGAAAAGUAGAAGUGGCAAAAGUAAGGCAAAGAUAAUAUUAAAUAGGAAGAUGGUAAGGAAAGCAAAGACGAAGAGUACAUCAAUCAAUUUGUGCAUCCAUGUAAACUUUUUUCAAUGGAGUUGAAUUAAAGGAGUGAAAAAACACAAAUGAGUAGGAAUGAAGCAAAAAGGAUGGAAAACAUCGGAAUAUUUAAAAGACAGUAACAAUUUGUCUCAAGAGAACCAAAAAAGACUGGUAAAUAUGUUGUGAAGGAAAAGGCAAGCAGACAAAAAAGGAAAAGGACGAAAGACAUGAAGGCGAUUUGGAAGCCGUCAGGUUAAUCUCUUUCACUCUGCCUACUACUGAACCCUGAUGAUGAUGGCUUGGAAGAUAUAAGGCAGAACAAAUUACCCAAUAUCAGAUGUAUUUUAUAAGAUGGUAAAAGAUGAGAAAAGCCAUUCUCUCAUGGAGUAGGAAAAAAAGAUGAGAAGGAGAAGAAAGGGAAGACAAGAAAAGGAGGAAAAAGGAGGAAUACCAUUGAUAUUGAAAAUUGUAGUUGUGUCAGGCAUGAGCCACCUAAUACCUAAUACCCUUUAGGUUUACCUCAUCUCCGUUAAUUUGAUCAUUUUGGAUGGCACUUAAUACAGUUGACUGUUGAUUUGUUUGCUGUCCAUAGCUUGAUUGAUCGCAAAUUAUAGUAUAAGAUAGGUUGCUGUUAUUGGUAAACUAAAAUCCAUAUCAUUUUGAUUACGAUCAUUACUGGUUCCAUUUGAUUUCCUUAUUGGCUUAAGACUUGUUAUUGAAUUAUUUGAUCGCCGAGAAGAGCUAAAUAAUAUGAUAUAAAUAAGAGAGAAAACCAAGAAUAAGCUGAUGAUAAUGCGUAAUAAUGAUAAUAAUAAAUUAACAUAACAUUAUACAAUCACAAGUUGAUUGUAACAUCACAUUAAAAGAGUAUAUCAAGAUAAAUAAAAUUAACAUUGGGAAACGUUUCAAUUAUUACCUGAUUAAGGUUAAACUUGUCAAAGCAUACAAUCAAUGAUAAUAUUAAUUAUGAUGAUAAUGGUGAUGUUGAUAAAUGAUGAUUACCAUUAGUUGAUGUGUUAAGACCCUGAAGGUGCAUACGCUUUUGACAAUCUGAACAAGACAUAAGGAAUCGGGUCACAGCUUCACGUGGUAGGAACGC